GACGAACGCUGGCGGCGUGCCUAAUACAUGCAAGUCGAACGCAGUGGGGACGGGUGAUUAACACGUGGGUAACCUCCCAUCAGAGGGGAUAACAUUUUGAAACAGGUGCUAAACCGAAAUUGAUGGAUGGACCCGCGGUGCAUUAGCUAGUUGGUGAGGUAAAGGCUCACCAAGGCCACGAUGCAUAACCGGCCUGAGAGGGUGAUCGGCCACACUGGGACUGAGACAUGGCCCAGACUCCUACGGGAGGCAGCAGUGGGGAAUAUUCGACAAUGGGCGAAAGUCUGACCCAGCAACGCCGCGUGAGUGAAGAAGGUUUUCGGAUCGUAAAGCUCUGUUGUUAGAGAAGCGGUAUCUAACCAGUAAGCAACGGCUAACUACGUGCCAGCAGCCGCGGUAAUAC
rnacentral:rRNA from 1 species